AUUGAACGCUGGCGGCAUGCCUUACACAUGCAAGUCGAACGGCAGCACGGGAGCAAUCCUGGUGGCGAGUGGCGAACGGGUGAGUAAAGUAUCGGAACGUGCCCAGUCGUGGGGGAUAACGUAGCGAAAGUUACGCUAAUACCGCAUACGAUCUACGGAUGAAAGCGGGGGAUCGCAAGACCUCGCGCGAUUUGAGCGGCCGAUAUCAGAUUAGGUAGUUGGUGGGGUAAAGGCUCACCAAACCGACGAUCUGUAGCUGGUCUGAGAGGACGACCAGCCACACUGGGACUGAGACACGGCCCAGACUCCUACGGGAGGCAGCAGUGGGGAAUUUUGGACAAUGGGCGCAAGCCUGAUCCAGCCAUGCCGCGUGCAGGAUGAAGGCCUUCGGGUUGUAAACUGCUUUUGUACGGAACGAAAAGGUUUGGCCUAAUAAGCUGGACCCAUGACGGUACCGUAAGAAUAAGCACCGGCUAACUACGUGCCAGCCGCCGCCGUAA
rnacentral:rRNA from 1 species